ACUGCUCAGUAACACGUGGAUAACCUGCCCUGCGGUGGGAAAUAACCCCGGGAAACUGGGGAUAAUGUCCCAUAGGCUACGGAUGCUGGAAUGCUCUGUAGCUCAAAGAUUUAUCGCCACAGGAUGGGUCUGCGGCCGAUUAGGUAGUUGUUGGGGUAACGGCCCAACAAGCCUUUGAUCGGUACGGGUUGUGGGAGCAAGAGCCCGGAGAUGGAUUCUGAGACACGAAUCCAGGCCCUACGGGGCGCAGCAGGCGCGAAAACUUUACAAUGCGGGAAACCGUGAUAAGGGAACUCCGAGUGUCCGUAAAUGCGGACUGUCCGUAUGUUUAAAAAGCAUGCGAAGAAAGGGCCGGGCAAGACCGGUGCCAGCCGCCGCGGUAAUACCGGCGGCUCGAGUGGUGGCCACUAUUACUGGGCUUAAAGCGUUCGUAGCUGGGUCGUUAAGUCUCUUGGGAAAUCUACCGGCUUAACCGAUAGGCGUCCAAGGGAUACUGGCGAUCUAGGGACCGGGAGAGGUGAGGGGUACUUCAGGGGUAGGAGUGAAAUCCUGUAAUCCUUGGGGGACCACCUGUGGCGAAGGCGCCUCACCAGAACGGCUCCGACAGUGAGGGACGAAAGCUGGGGGAGCAAACCGGAUUAGAUACCCGGGUAGUCCCAGCCGUAAACGAUGCGCGUUAGGUGUAUCGAUGACCACGAGUCAUCGAGGUGCCGAAGGGAAACCGUGAAACGCGCCGCCUGGGAAGUACGGUCGCAAGGCUGAAACUUAAAGGAAUUGGCGGGGGAGCAC
rnacentral:rRNA from 1 species